rnacentral:rRNA from 1 species
CCUACGGGUGGCUGCAGUGGGGAAUAUUGGACAAUGGGCGAAAGCCUGAUCCAGCCAUGCCGCGUGUGUGAAGAAGGCCUUCGGGUUGUAAAGCACUUUCAGUGGGGAAGAAAGCCUUGGGGCUAAUACCCUCGAGGAAGGACAUCACCCACAGAAGAAGCACCGGCUAACUCCGUGCCAGCAGCCGCGGUAAUACGGAGGGUGCGAGCGUUAAUCGGAAUUACUGGGCGUAAAGCGCGCGUAGGCGGUCUGAUAAGCCGGUUGUGAAAGCCCCGGGCUCAACCUGGGAACGGCAUCCGGAACUGUCAGGCUAGAGUGCAGGAGAGGAAGGUAGAAUUCCCGGUGUAGCGGUGAAAUGCGUAGAGAUCGGGAGGAAUACCAGUGGCGAAGGCGGCCUUCUGGCCUGACACUGACGCUGAGGUGCGAAAGCGUGGGUAGCAAACAGGAUUAGAUACCCGAGUAGUC